GGAUUACAGGUGUGUGCCACUGUGCCCAGAUUUUUUGAUUCAGCUGAUCUGGCUAGCUAAGCAAGUGUUCUCUUUCUCUCUUACUGCUCCAUGUGCAUCACUGCUGAAGCUAUGUGCUCAGUUGAGGAGGACAACCACCCCAGAUAGAGGAGGACUGUUCUUUGGUCAAGGUAUAUAAGUAGCUACAUUCCCAUGCUAGAAUCUCUAAACAACUCGUUUUUAAUCCUUUCUAAGUGUCCAAUAAGUGAACUUUUAAUAUUACUGAAGAUGGGGAAUAAAGGGCCUCUAAUUC
ensembl:misc_RNA 7SK 7SK RNA